rnacentral:rRNA from 1 species
AUCCCAGACUCCUACGGGAGGCAGCAGUGGGGAAUAUUGCACAAUGGGCGAAAGCCUGAUGCAGCAACGCCGCGUGAAGGAAGAAGGGUUUCGGCUCGUAAACUUCUAUCAACAGGGACGAAAGAAAUGACGGUACCUGAAUAAGAAGCCCCGGCUAACUACGUGCCAGCAGCCGCGGUAAUACGUAGGGGGCAAGCGUUAUCCGGAAUUACUGGGUGUAAAGGGCGUGUAGCCGGGCUGACAAGUCAGAUGUGAAAUUCCGGGGCUCAACCCCGGACCUGCAUUUGAAACUGUUGGUCUUGAGUAUCGGAGAGGCAAGCGGAAUUCCUAGUGUAGCGGUGAAAUGCGUAGAUAUUAGGAGGAACACCAGUGGCGAAGGCGGCCUGCUGGACGACAACUGACGGUGAGGCGCGAAAGUGUGGGGAGCAAACAGGAUUAGAUACCCCAGUAU